UAAUAGAACGCCUUACAAAAUUAAAUUGAAACGGAUAGAACUCAUCCCAAUUCGAAAACCAACAUAUAGAAGCCAAGCAAUAUGAUUACCUGACUUGAGAAGAGGCAAAGAUCGACAUCAACAACAGAUCGGAAGAUUGAGAGGAUUAAUCGAUGAGAACAGCCAUAAGAGAAGUAUAUUUCCGCACAACCACAUCCCAGCAGCAAUUAGAGAUGACAAAAACCCAUCUAUCAUUGUUAUAAAAAGGUAUGAGGUUUGUGUCCAUGAUAGCUAGGGCUAUCAGACAGACGACGUUUAACGGGGAUCCCGAUCCGGCGGUGGGAAAGUUCCGGAUGGAGUUUUUGCUUGGACGGCUGGGAAACUUUAAACUUACGGUAAAGUUACGGUGUGUGGGUGAAUUGAAUUGGGUUUUGAUUUGUUCUUUACACAGCGAGAGAAGGAGAGGCAGACAGAGCCAGAGAGAUGGUUUCCUAUUUUUCGUUUCCUUCGAUGAGCUACCUGAACAAUGUCAAUCCAGAAAAGCGAAACAUGUGUUUGAUCUUCUCUUAUAAAAAUAAGAGAUAUGAAGAACAUAUAUGAGAAGAAAGAUGGAGACUUGGUUAAUAAACCCAAAUAUUAGGGUUGCUGGCUUAAUCGAUGGGAAGAUAAGAUUCAUGUUUGCAAGUUCAAACUGAUGGGUAUACCACAUAUGCAAAAUGUACAUGAGCCCACUGAAGUUGGGGGACAAAUUUUCCCAUGGAAUCUUCCACUUCCCAAGUUUGUGAGGAAGGUUGGACCUGCAUUAGCUACUAGAUGCAGUAUUGCACGAAAACAAUAGAGCAAAUAUCAUAUUUGCAUCUAUGUGGCACAGUUGAUCAUGAAUAUGGCCUUCCCAGGACUGGUGAGGCACUUGCCAGUCUAUGGAUGUCGACAAGUUUUCUUUUCCUGAAAUUUUGAAUACUGGAGGCCCCUAGGAGGCACAAAUAGCUCCAUUUGAGAGGCUGGCACUAGUGAGAAGUUGAAACAAAUAGCUCCAUGGAAAAUGCCCUGUGUUAGAAAUAAGAAUAAUACGAAGACAGCAAAAUUAGAGUGAUGUGACAGUGAACCAUCUUUGCUGGGGUUCAGAUGAAAUCUGGAGGUACUUUAACACCACCACCCUGAUUAUUUUGUGAAUGAACUAUUUCCCCGUCCAUACCAAUUGCCAACACCACUACUACGCUUUCCAGAUACUCUAUGAAUGUUAUUCCUGAACUGGGGGUACUUUACAGCGUCGAAGAAGAACUUAUGUAGCAUUGCCAUUCAGCAGUCGAACAGCUUCAACAUAACAAUUAUGAAAACAGUGGUGGCUUAAAUUGUUGAUUUUUCUGUUUGAUCCAUAUCAAUCAUUAUAUUUUUAUUCAGUUGUUCUUCAUGUAACACACCAAGUUGGAUUACAAUAAAAUAAAUUUACAAACUCAACCCAAUUUCAUGUAGGUUGUUAUGCCAGUUUUUGUCACCAUUUCCAAAUAUCGGUGAAAGACCAAAAACAAAUGUUUAGAUAUUUCGGAUGUUAGAGAUAAUGACCGGUUUAUUGCGCCACCUGCCAAGUAACAAGUAGUUGGAUGGCUACCGGUUAGAUCAUAUUGGACAAACAAUUUGCAAGUAGAGAAGAACAUCGAAGGAGAGAAAUCAUGAAUUAUUAUGUGAAAUUUAGCAUGGAUGGAGCUCGUCACCUUAGAAAGAUUGAUCUUAAAGUUUACGAGGGAUAUCAAAAACUUCUCAAGGGAUGAUAUCUUCAAGUUCAGUAUGAUUCAUUAUUUUGAGAGUCAAGGCUACAAUAGUUCAGAAUUCUGUACCUACUUAUGCAAACAAAGAUGAUCCCUGGAUGCCGGUUGGAGAUUUCCAAAAGUACUCAUCGCAUCAUGUGAAAUAUUGAAAAUCAUGAGAGGGUCAGAAGCUAGAAGUUCAGAUUAUUGUGCAUAUAACGGAAAUAAUAGUCAAGAAGCAAACAAAUCAUUCAGCAGCAGCUUGGGUUCUCCUAGAAGAAAUAGAACAAGAGGUUUCUUUUUUUUUUGAAUCCACAAGGCAAGAGUUGAAACUCUCCUUCCCCUAUCUAAAGGUGGCUUCAAUAGCUGACACAUAAUAAUGCAUGUUCCAAACAGAAAGAAAAACUUGGGUCCGGAGGACAAAGGAAAGUAUGUUUGUCACUACUACAUUGGCAGGAACAGAGAUAAGUUCUUAAGUAAAUAUAAAAGAGUGAUUAAUUUAUUGUAUAGUUUGGAAUUUGUUAGCAUGACUCUGUUAUUUUGGAAGUUGUUAGCAUGACUCUGUUAUUGAUUAAGGAUCUGAUUUAGCUGAUAUUAAACAUUUAAUGUAAGAUGCUCGAUAUGCAGUUGGAAAUUUCGUAGUGGGUAAACUUCAACUGACACAUGCCUUCGCAGAAUAAUGUUUCCUCUCCUUCGCCAAUUUUCGGUGGAGGUCCCUUAGUGGGGUUUAUCCAACUUUCAAGAGCUCUACCCUUUACUUUGUCAAAGCUGAAAGGCUAUUCGUGAAAGGUUGUUCAUGAAUUGUUUCUAAAGAUACUGUGUACCUGCUAUAAGUAAGUGGAGUAAACCAAUGGCGUUCUGAAAAAGAGUGUGGUGCCAAAAAAGUGGUUGCAGACGAGUCGAGACACCAGAAUUAGGACUGAACCAGUGGAGUUGUCGACCUCCAGUAUGGAAUGACGGCGACACGAUUAUCUUGGCUAACAACUCCUUUGUUGAUACCGCAGGAUGCUUCAGAUAACAACUCCUUUGCUGAUAACAACAUACUUAAGCUGCCUAUACAGGUUGAGUGUCAAUUUAAAUUGUUUGAAGAAUCUGGAAAUGCAGAACUCUUGAGAGUUUUAGAAAUCUUCAAGACUUCAUGCGCCAUUGUCAAGAAACACCAAUGAAAUCACAGUACCAUGAACUACACCAAGCAGAAUAUAAGCCUUCACUAGGCCAUAAUCAACUCCUUAAAUAUACCAU